UUUCCGUAGGUGAACCUGCGGAAGGAUCAUUACUGAGUCUGGGAUACCCUUCACCGGGACCCGACCUCUUCAACCCAGUGUCAAAACUACACCUUGGAUGUUGCUUCGGUGGGACGGUCGCUAACCCGACCGCCGGGGGGUGCUUUUUUGGUUGUCACGACCGGAAAUCCCUCUGGAGCGUUUGCCCGCCGAUGGCCUCUUAACCAAAAACUCUUGCCAACAAAACAUGAUGUCUAAAAACAAGUAUACCCAUUUAAUGGAUAAACGAAACUUUCAACAACGGAUCUCUUGGUUCUGGCAUCGAUGAAGAACGCAGC
rnacentral:misc_RNA from 1 species